AUGGUUGAGAAAGCCAGGCAACUGCCCCUGAACAGCUCGUCAGACACUAUCUCUUGGAAACAUAAUAGUAAUUGAAAAUUUACUACUAAGUCAGUUUAUGAGUGGCUGGAAAGGAACCUAUCUGGCCCCAAUUAUAAAUGGGUGUGGAAGGUCCCUAUCCCCCUAAAAAUUAAGAUUUUUUUGUGGCAACUUUUUCAAAAUGCUGUGCUUACAAGAGACAAUAUGCGGGCUAGGAAGUGGCCUAGGGAUCCUACUUGUUCCUUUUGUACAAAUAUUGAAACAACGAACCAUCUAUUCUUUAAUUGCCCACUUGCCCGCAUGGUUUGGGGCGUGCUGGGAAUGACGGGUGGAGCAUCUUGCUGCCCCCGUUCGCUUUGGCAAAGUUGGGCGUGGCUGUAUAGGUUUUUUCCAGGAGGGGAACACUUUUAUAUGAUGAAUAUUGCUACUGUUUGUUGGGGGAUAUGGAACCUUCGAAAUAAAGUCACUUUUGAUAAACAUAUUGCUCGCACUUCACUGGAGGCUGUUUUCACUGCAUGUUCUUUUAUGCUAUAUUGGGCAUGUCUACUUAAAGAAGAUGACAAGGUGAAGUUCCAGACUGGUGUGAAGAGAUUGGCUCACGCGGCUGCUGCUUUGGCAGAUAGAUUCUUUUCCCGUGGCAGACUCCUCCUCGGCGACAUGAUGGGAUCCAGAUUGGCUAGUUGA
rnacentral:rRNA from 1 species